AGCUGGGGAGGCAGGGGCUGGGCAGCUCAGACUCAGGCACAUAGAGAUGGGGUCCCAGGCUCAGAUGCUCUUUCUCCUGUUGUUCUGGCUCCCAGAUGCCCGAGGGGCCGUUGUGCUGACCCAGUCUCCAGCCUCCCUGGCUGCAUCUCCAGGAGAGAGAGUCACCAUGUCCUGCAGGGCCAGUCAGGGUAUUAGCACUUACCUGAACUGGUACCAACAGAAACCAGGCCAGGCCCCCAGGCUCCUCAUCUACGAUGUUUCUAACCUGGCAUCCGGGGUCCCUGCCCGGUUCAGCGGCAGUGGGUAUGGGACAGAUUUCUCCCUCACAAUCAGCAACAUGGAGGCUGAGGACGCUGCUGUCUAUUACUGUCAGCGUGGCUAUUACAAUGCUCCCACAGUGAUACAGCCCCAAACAAAAACCUCCCCCGCAGCUGCUGAGGGAGCAUCAGGGCCCCAGGGGCCUCUCCUUCCCCUCGGCUGGGCUGGGGGCAGCUUGUCUGGGCUGCCUCGGGGGAGGUUUCUGGGUCUCAGAGGAAGAUGCUGGGGCUGUGAGAAUACUGCCCUGAUUUAUUUUCCAGCCAAGAAUCCACCAAAAUGAAUCCACAGAGUAGCUGGUCCUGAAAUAGGAGUCUCGUCCCCCAUGUCCAUCACUUCUCUGCCAGGAGGGGGCAGCACACUUCAUCAUUGGUCCCCUGGAGAGAAAUGAUUGGUCAUUUUAGGGUCAGGAUUUCUCCCUCAUCUCUGCUGGAUCCUUCCCCAGAUCCUGCCCUCUAACUGUAGGUGUCCCUCGGGGCUCUAUCUCGGCCCCCAUUCUCUUCUCCUCUAUAUCACUUCCCUUGGUGACAUCAUCAGCUCCCAUGGAUUGAAUUUUCAUUGCUUUGCUGAGAAGUCACAGAUCUCCCUCUCUUGCCCCAUCUCUCUCCCACCCUCCAAGCUGGCA